UACGGAGGGGGCUAGCGUUGUUCGGAAUUACUGGGCGUAAAGCGCGCGUAGGCGGACCUGCAAGUCGGGGGUGAAAGCCCGAGGCUCAACCUCGGAACUGCCUUCGAUACUGCGGUCUCGAGUCCGGGAGAGUGAGUGGAAUUCCUAGUGUAGAGGUGAAUUCGUAGAUAUUAGGAAGAACACCAGUGGCGAAGGCGGCUCACGUG
rnacentral:rRNA from 1 species